rnacentral:miRNA from 14 species
GGGCCGGGUCGGGCCGGAGCAGCGAGGACGCGAGCACAGGCGGGAGGCCCGGGCGGCUCCGUGUGGGGCGGCGGGAGACGGCAGAGCCAGGGCGCGGAGCGGAGCGGAGCCGGGCAGGGGAGUGAGACGG